GCGUGCUGCCUGGCUCCCGAGGCCAGCGCGGCGUUGCAGCCCCUCGGGGCCCGCGGGCCGGCACUUGAGCAGCGCCUUCUGUCUACCCGACCCGUUUGCGAGCACAGAUUGCCUGCACUGGAUCCUGAUGCCAGGCCUUUGGGCUUGACGUGCGGUCUUGGGCAAGAACUGAACGUCUCUGAGGUUGUCUCCGAGUCCAUCCGUGGGGUGGUGACUUCGUCCUGCAGGGAGUUAGUGAGGCCCAGAUGAGAAGUGCCCGAGCUUCUUCAAGCUGGUGGACCCUGGCUGGCCAUCUUUCCCCACAGCCCCUUCAUGGGCUGCCACCCACCUCAGGGACCCUGGACCUCUGUGCAAAGGCUACAGCCUGCCUGGAGCUGACCACAGCCUGCCCAGGGCUGACGACAGCCCUGCCCCGGUCUCCAUGUUUUGGCUUGAGUUAUCACCAUGUCCCAUACUGACUGCAACUAUUUCUGCUUUCAUAACCAGUGUUGCAACAGAAAAAAAAGAUAGAAAUAACUGUGGCUUGGGCCAGGAAAUGUCAGCUUCCCCUGUGAGGGGCGGCUGGGAGAUUCGGAUGACUUCUCGGUGCGGGAGUCCUUGUGAUCAUCAACAGAGUAAGGAAAAAAGAAGGAAGAGAAUUGCAAAUUCAACUCACCUUCUUUGCAGGUGAUUAAAAAACAAAACCUGAGAGAAUGGACAAGAUGAACCCUCCUGAUUCAUCUGAGCUCAUGCACUCUCCGCCCCACCCCAGUCCUGUUGCCUGGUUUCUUUUUCAGAUGGCUUGGGGGGGGGUAACGCAGGAGGGGUGGGAACCUGCCCGCCCAGACUCUGAGGUCACACCCAGCAGCGGUGUGACGGGGGCAGGUCUUCCAGCCUCUCUGAGCUUCAGUAUCCUUAUCUGUGCGAGGCUGGAAAUCACGACCCUGCCUCCUACGGCGGUUACACAUAAUGAGAGAGGUGAUGUCUGCAAAGUGCCAGCCCCAGCGGCAUUUUUGCAGGCAGACCAGCUGGGAAGCGCUGGGUGCUCCAAGGAGGACGAUGGUGCCUUAGGCUCAGGUGGUGGUAGGACAGGAGAGGGGGAGAGGACGCGAGAGAGGUUUGGGGAGGGGUGGAUGGAAUGGAGAGGGUAGGCUGGUGGAGGGAGAAGGGGAGAGAGAGAGGGACUGAGGGGGAGGCCCGCACCCCUGUGCCCAGAGAACACUUUGGGAGCAGAUUUUGUGAGCUUGGAGUUCUGCAUCUGCAUAGUGACAGCACACCCACUGGGGACACAGUUGGAUGUUUGCUUUUUUUUUUUUUUUUUUUUUUUUUUGUCUUUUUAGGGCUGCACCCAAGACAUAUGGAAGUUCCCAGGCUAGGGGUUGAACCUGAGGCAUCAGCUUACACCACAGCCGUAGUCCAAUCUGUGUCUGCAACCUACACCACAGUUUACAGCAACACCUGAUCCUUAUAACCCACUGAUCGAGGCCAGGCAUCGAACCUGCAUCCUCAUGGAUGCUAGUCAGGUUCAUUUCCGCUGAACCAGAUGGGACCUCCUGGAUGUUUGGGCUUGAACUCAGGGAAAGGGGUGCAGGCUGCAGAUGUGAGCAUCGGAAGUGACCUAAGUGGAUGCUGUCACCAAAGGGGUGUGCGGAUCCAAGUCUGUGCCCCUCUCCCGACACCCCAAUCCUGGCAAACCCUCUCCAUGGCCUCUGCUUUACCCCCCUGGCUGCUGGAAGGGCUGUAGAGGCCAGAUGCCACAGAGGCUACGUGUCAUCCUGGAGGCAGCAGAAUUGCCCAAAGGGAAGGAAGCAGGAACCCUGGCUUGAGAAGCUGGAAGAGCAAAACUCAGCCCCCCAGUUCCAUGUGCUCAGGGUCACCCUGGGGGUAUGGACAGGAAGUCUAGUCUGCGAGGCCAGGCGGUCCACACGCAGGCCAAUCUAGGAAAAAUCAGCAAGGUCAAGCCUCCUCACGGAAUCAGAAUGACCUGUUCUCAAGAAGGAGCCUGGGAGGUGUUAUAAACCUCCUGCCACCUGGUGGCUUCUGUUACCAACAAGAUACUCUUAAUAAGGGGGUGCUCAGUCUGAUUGCCCACCUCUGCAUCAAGGCGCUCACCCCGUGCACUGGGCCGCCCCGACUUUCCUCCUCCCCUCGCCAGGAACACCCCGCGUUCUCUCCACUGUCCCCGCAAGGGCUUUCCUUCCUUGCCUGUCUCCCUCCGCUUGCAAAGAAACCUCAGCACAAGCGCGGUAAUAAUCACAAGACAUUCUGGGCGGAGGCGCCUCCUUCGCACAUUCAGCCUCUGCCGGGUACCACAUGGCAGGACCAGGGCGAGGUCCCGGGAUGGGGUCCACGCAGCAGGCAGGCAGGCGCGGGUCAGAGGUCAUCACACGUUCUCCACCAAAGCUCCGGACCGGGUCGCAGCUGCUCACACCUGCUCCUUCCCUGAAAGUUGCUGGAACACCCACCCCUCUGCUGAGCCCUGCUGAGUCACGUUUACUGCACUACCUUCGAGGGCCAGCCUUUCAAACAAAGUGAAUGCAGUGAGGUAUUCAUUUAACGUAGGUUUAUUUAAUGAUGUAGGCAUUCAGUGUAGGUGAUGCGAGAGGUUUUCCAGUGUAACGUUAAGUCUCCCUUUGCCCUGCGUGUAUGGUAAGCAUGGAAUCCAGCUCUGCCACCUUGCAGAGCUUGCUGUCAGUGUGCCCCAUUGUACCGUGGGAAACCCCAAACUCAGAGAGCAAUCCCAGUCAUGAUGAGCGGGGCUUCAGAGCUGCAGCCAAGCCCUCAGCGCGGAGCAGAGUGGCCGGGCCAAGGAGGCUGCCCAUCCAGGCACUCCUAGGGCGCUGGCCGAUGGAGGAGGAGGAGGCGGCGGCACCAGGUGAAGCUGCUGAAGGCAGUUUGAUGCCACGGUCAAAAGAACUAACAGUUACAAAAUGCGUGCAUUACAAGCUCAGGUUUGCACCUGUUGGUAAUUUGGAAAAGAAAAGUUUGCAACUUCUAAGGCACAGGCCACUUUACAGCCUCAUGGUGAAGACUCCUGUCCUCAGAAUCCACCAGCUGUCUUUCCUGGCCAACGGUCUCACCCAACUCAAGACAGGGUAUACAAAGACUGGGAGUUUCUGCUUUUCUCCCACCACCCCAGGGGCUGAACUCAACCCCCAUGCCUCGUCCUCUGCCCUGCAUCUCUGAUCCCUCACUGCUGCUCCACUAAAGCACCAGAAUCUUCUCCAGCCAUGAGUUGCCAACUGCCUGAGCUUCCCUCGUGUGUCACAUAAGAUGAGGUGCACCAACCACAGUGGCUUCAGGGCGAUGUUUAUUUCUCUCUCGGGCUAAAGUCUGGAAGUAGGAUGGAGCAAUGCUGAGAGACACCUCUGCUCCCAGAGGACCCAGGCUCCUUUCGGCUUCCCACUCCAUUCUCUGCAGGGUGUAGCCUUUGCCCUCAUGGCCCCAAAAUGGUGGCUAGAGUUCCAGCCAUCACAUUCAACUUCCAGGUGGUAGGAUUGAGGAAGUGAAGAGGCACGGGGGACAUGCUCAUUAUCCUUUAUGAUAAAAAGUCCAGGAAGCAGCCACUCUGGCUUAUAUUCCAUCAAGCAGAACUUAGUCACAUGGCCAUACACAGCCGCAAAGGAGGCUGGGGAAUGGACAUUUUUGGGAGCUGUGGUCAGCUGAAAAUUGGGGUUCUGUUCUCAUGGACAAAAAAGAGCAGAUAAAAGGGGGCAAUCGGGAAUUCCUGCCCUUCCCAGGAGCUGGGGCCAGCACCAGAGAGCAGAAGGUGUCCCUCCCCAGGCGGCCUUGGCACUUUGAUGAGAGUGGUGCGCGCAUGGCAGGUGGGCAGCACAGUGGGCAGCAGAGCCGCUGAGGAUAAACGGGCCCUACUCCCACUGCCACACACGCCUCCAGAAAGGAAACCACGGCUUCGAGGAAGCCCCUAGCAUGUCUUCCGUGACAGCAGGCAUUAUGGGAGGCGGCCAGGCGACAGUGCCUGUGUGCAGUGUGCCUACCACAGGCCAGGCCCACACGGGGGCAAAGAUGCCCAGGCUCCACCAGGGCCGCAAGACCACGAGGCCACCUCCCCCUCCCAGCCCUGACCUGCUCUGCCCAGCGUGACUUCUGCCACCUGGGGGUGUGGCUCCCAACGGCCUUCAAACAAGGGGGCCCUGAAAGCAAGGGAUGAGGCGCCAGUUUGAAAAUGACGGCAAGGGCCAAAAGCACAACCAGAGGAGGUGACGAUCCCCCUGACACAGGAUGGUGCUCAGAGUUUUUCUGUUUUGUUUUGUUUUUUCCUGUCUUGAUGGAAAAUGACGGAAGCAUAUACAAUCCUAAUGCAACUGGAGCCUUAGUGUGGGGUCCCCAGUUUACACGGCUGGUUUCAUGUGUCUUGUUCCCAACAGUUAGCAGCACCUUCCUCCCUGCAUCAGGGGUGCUGAGAGGGACAUUAGAGCGCUGUGGUGGCGGGUGGCUGGGUCAUGGAAAUGGGACCGUGUUCCUGCGUUUCCCUGGGAGCCCGCGUACGCUGUGACGAGUGUCACUCUGCAGGCCAGCCAUGGAGCGAGAGGGUUAACUGGACGCAUCGACCUGGCCAGGCCCACGAGACCCAGAGGUUUGAUCAAACGCCGGUCCAGAUGUUGCUGGGAAGGUAGUCUUUAGAUGAGAUGGAGUUCCAAAGAUUUUUUUGAUUCGAGUAUGGUUGAUUUACAAAGUUCUGUCAGCUGCUGCUGCACAGCACAGUGACCCAGUGUGGCAUAGAUACACCUUCUUUUUCCCAUGUCCUCUUCCAUCGUGUUCUGUCACCAGUAAGUGGCUGUAAUUCCCUGGGCGAUACAGCAGGACCUCAUUGCUCAUCCAUCUCAGUGCAACAGGUUGCGGGUAGGAGCCCCAAACGCUGCGUCCAUCCCGCUCCCUCCCCCUCCCCCUGGGCAACCGCAAGUGUGCCCCCCAUGUCUGUGAGCCUGUGUCUGUUCUGUACGUAGGUUCCUCUGGGCCACAUUUUAGAUUCCGCCUCUGAGUGGUAGCGUGUGCUCUUUGUCUUGAGAUUAAACGUGAGGAGACUUUGA
rnacentral:lncRNA from 1 species